rnacentral:misc_RNA from 1 species
CGAUAGGAACAGACCUCGAUUCAACAUCAGGCGAGUGCUGCGUGCCCCCAUCAUUGGAACAUUUUGAUUAUCUGUCGUGGUCGUGUUUCUUGCUCGAGGAGUAAAGAGAUAGAAGAUCUGGAAAGAACGAAAAGGUGACAUUUUGGCGGCGAUGCUGGUUCGCGCGCCUUACACCCUCCCCUUACUUUUUGUGGUCUGCUGUUGGUUUAGACAUAAUGCUGCGAUUCCACUUGCCUCUCAUUCAUCAAGUCAAUUUUAUUAAAUGCCGCUUUGGAUUUUUCAUCACUUCAUUUCAUACAAUUGCAACGCUUUGAUUUGGAUUCCUUGGCUGUAAAUGAAUUUUGGAAAUAAAUUUUAAUUAUUUUGUUACUCUGGGAGAUU